CAGAACUUCCCAAACCUAUGUCUCUCCGAGAUGGAACUCACUGCCCUGCUGUCUCAGGAGCUGCUGAUGUUUCUCAUGGAUAGUCCAUAAAAUACAGUCUUGGUGACAGUCAGUUGUGGGUUAUGGAGGAGGAGUGACCCUAAGCCGGCAGGACCCCGUGCCUGAGGAGCCAGGAAGACCCGUGCUGAGGAGUCAGGAGGACCCGUGCCUGAGGAGUGUUACACACCUGCAGACUAAACGGGAGUCCCUGACUUGGAAGGGGUCUGCACAGAUCUGUCAAACUAGAUGGCUGGCUGAGUUGAUCCCAUGUGAUGAGGUCACAGAUCUCAUUACAGAUUCAGAUCUCAUUACAGAUGGUUUUGAGCCACCAUAUGGUUGCUGGGAUUUGAACUUAACCGCUGAGCCAUCUCUCCAGUCCAGUGACACGUUUUCUAAGAGAGAAACUGAGGCACCGAGAGCAGGAUGAGAAGCAUGGGAACAAGCCAGUAAGCAGC
ensembl:lincRNA